rnacentral:lncRNA from 1 species
UCCUGUGAUGUGGGUUUUAAUAAUCUGAGUAUGGAUGGAUAGAUAAUGACUGGGCAAAAGAUAGGACUAGAUUAAGGAGCGAUAUUGACUUGUCUGGUUUUUUUACUUUCCUAUCAAGAUGCUCUGAUUGGAUGGGGUUAAGGCAGAAGACCCCUAUGGACUGGAUUUAAUGCCUACAACUCGUCCAAGGAGGAGAGUAGAAACACCUGGUACAGGGCUGUGGAUCAUUCUGGUGUAGCAGUGCAUCCUAAUUCAUUUAACUAAGCCUCUAUAUUGAUGAAUAUUUCAAUAUAAGUCUUUCUAUGUUCUAUAGGUCCGUGAGCAAGAUGGGGAAGCAGUACAAGGCAAGCAGGACUGUGGGCUUGGAUCUUGUCUGGUUUUCAGUUGAGAACAGACUUUUAUUUCCACCAAGGAAGCAGUACCAUAAGAUGGACCCAGCAUUGUGCCUUUUAUCUUUCGAAAGAAGCUUAAUACAUACUUCUUGA